GGCUGGUCCAAAGGUCCAACUGAGUUAUCUCAGUUGACUUUUCAGUCAGUUAUAGAUGAAACUCCUUGUUCUAGUCUUUCUCCACUUGUUACUACUGCGCUUGACUAGUCUUAA
ensembl:misc_RNA Y_RNA Y RNA